AGCCAGACUCCUACGGGAGGCAGCAGUGAGGAAUAUUGGUCAAUGGGCGGGAGCCUGAACCAGCCAAGUCGCGUGAGGGACGACGGUCCUAUGGAUUGUAAACCUCUUUUGUCGGGGAACAAAGGCGCCCACGGGUGGGCGGAUGAGUGUACCCGAAGAAAAAGCAUCGGCUAACUCCGUGCCAGCAGCCGCGGUAAUACGGAGGAUGCGAGCGUUAUCCGGAUUUAUUGGGUUUAAAGGGUGCGCAGGCGGAAUGUCAAGUCAGCGGUAAAAUUUCGGGGCUCAACCCCGUCGUGCCGUUGAAACUGGCGUUCUUGAGUGAGCGAGAAGUAUGCGGAAUGCGUGGUGUAGCGGUGAAAUGCAUAGAUAUCACGCAGAACUCCGAUUGCGAAGGCAGCUUACUAAACUGCCACUGACAUUGAUGCCCGAAAGUGUGGGUAUCAAACAGGAUUAGAUACCCCAGUAA
rnacentral:rRNA from 1 species